rnacentral:rRNA from 1 species
GACAGAGGGUGCAAACGUUGCUCGGAAUUACUGGGCGUAAAGCGCGUGUAGGCGGACUGAUAAGUCGGACGUGAAAUCCCUGAGCUCAACUCAGGAACUGCAUUCGAAACUGUCAGCCUUGAGUAGUGGAGAGGAAAGCAGAAUUCCUGGUGUAGAGGUGAAAUUCGUAGAUAUCAGGAGGAACACCGGUGGCGAAGGCGGCUUUCUGGACACUUACUGACGCUGAGACGCGAAAGCGUGGGGAGCAAACAGG